UACGGAGGGGGCAAGCGUUAUCCGGAUUCACUGGGCUUAAAGGGCGCGUAGGAGGGCAGGUAAGUCAGAGGUGAAAUCCCCGAGCUUAACUUGGGAAUUGCCGUUGAUACUAUCUGUCUUGAAUACCGUGGAGGUGAGCGGAAUAUGUCAUGUAGCGGUGAAAUGCUUAGAUAUGACAUAGAACACCAAUUGCGAAGGCAGCUCGCUACACGAAUAUUGACUCUGAGGCACGAAAGCGUGGGGAUCAAACAGG
rnacentral:rRNA from 1 species